rnacentral:rRNA from 1 species
CCGUGUACGUACAAGCAGUGGGAGCACAGGUUUACCUGUGUGACUGCGUACCUUUUGUAUAAUGGGUCAGCGACUUAUAUUCUGUAGCAAGGUUAACCGUAUAGGGGAGCCGGAGGGAAACCGAGUCUUAAUUGGGCGUUAAGUUGCAGGGUAUAGACCCGAAACCCGGUGAUCUAGCCAUGGGCAGGUUGAAGGUUGGGUAACACUAACUGGAGGACCGAACCGACUAAUGUUGAAAAAUUAGCGGAUGACCUGUGGCUGGGGGUGAAAGGCCAAUCAAACCGGGAGAUAGCUGGUUCUCCCCGAAAGCUAUUUAGGUAGCGCCUCGUGAAUUCAUCUCCGGGGGUAGAGCACUGUUUCGGCUAGGGGGCCAUCCCGGCUUACCAACCCGAUGCAAACUGCGAAUACCGGAGAAUGUUAUCACGGGAGACACACGGCGGGUGCUAACGUCCGUCGUGAAGAGGGAAACAACCCAGACCGCCAGCUAAGGUCCCAAAGUCAUGGUUAAGUGGGAAACGAUGUGGGAAGGCCCAGACAGCCAGGAUGUUGGCUUAGAAGCAGCCAUCAUUUAAAGAAAGCGUAAUAGCUCACUGGUCGAGUCGGCCUGCGCGGAAGAUGUAACGGGGCUAAACCAUGCACCGAAGCUGCGGCAGCGACGCUGAUGCGUUGUUGGGUAGGGGAGCGUUCUGUAAGCCUGCGAAGGUGGCCUGUGAGGGUUGCUGGAGGUAUCAGAAGUGCGAAUGCUGACAUAAGUAACGAUAAAGCGGGUGAAAAGCCCGCUCGCCGGAAGACCAAGGGUUCCUGUCCAACGUUAAU